rnacentral:rRNA from 1 species
AUACGGAGGGGGCUAGCGUUGUUCGGAAUCAUUGGGCGUAAAGCGCGUGUAGGCGGCUUGGCAAGUCGGGCGUGAAAUCCCGGGGCUCAACCCCGGAACUGCACUCGAAACUGCUUGGCUAGAGUCCCGGAGAGGAAGGCGGAAUUCCCGGUGUAGAGGUGAAAUUCGUAGAUAUCGGGAGGAACACCAGCGGCGAAGGCGGCCUUCUGGACGGUGACUGACGCUGAGACGCGAAAGCGUGGGGAGCAAACAGGAUUAGAAACCCCGGUAGUCC